AUCCAUGAGGGAUAGCUCAGCCAGUGGAGCAUGAGAUUCUUAACCUCGGGGUUGUGGGUUCAAGUCCCACUUUGGACA